GUCAGUGUUCGGGGCCGUUUUAGCGGCUAGGCGUGAUAAGUUGGACCUGCGGUGCUCACGCUCGCCUAGCCGACCGCCAUUUCACAUCCUGCGGAGGAGGCGGGGGCAGCCGCGGAGACGGCUUUUUACAAGGAUGCCAUUGCCUUCCUUUUGCAUCUGAAGCAAGUUCUGGUUCGAAUGGAGAGUGUAGCCUUUUGGAACGGUCCACUAAAUCAGCCAUUGAUGUAAUAUGCUUGCCUUGUCUCAUCAUUGUGACUCCCUGAGUUCCUAGAUCCAUAGAUCCAUCAGAAUCCUGUGUUUAUGACACACCAUGAAGACUAUAUGCAAAGAGGGUGGCAAGAAAGAAAAGAUGCACACAUUGCCUCCUCUGCUUGAAUGUAAGAUCCAUUGUACCACCGGACUUCAUUUAUAAAACAGACGUUCAAACAUAAAAGUAUGAAGAUUUUUAAAAUGGUGACUGCAGAACACUAAAUGAAGCACUGUGCCCUGUAGAACUGCACAGUUUGCAUGCCUAUGAAGUUGACCCUGAGCUCAGUGUUUCUCAAGGGGCUUCUGAUGUGUUAGGUGAAACAAUUCUACAUUGUACAGCAUAUUUAACAUCCCUGGCCCCUGGGCACUACAUGCAACUCUGACAAAAAUGCCCCCCGAGAGGAGUUACUACUCUCCACUGAACUCCUGGAGUGCACUCCACUGUCUCCGGCUGGGAACCAUGGUCAUUACAGAUCCAAGCAAGGUUUUUGCUAGUGAUUCUCAGGCAGGGAAAAAUAGAGUUGAGUUUAAAAGAUUUCAGAAGUCUCAUACCUGAGAGAACAGAAUUAUGGUGACCUUUUUCCCAUUGUCAGAAAAAUACUAUCUGCAUUGGUGAUGAAAUAAAUACUUGGGAUGAAA